rnacentral:rRNA from 1 species
UACGUAGGGUGCAAGCGUUUAAUCGGAAUUACUGGGCGUAAAGCGUGCGUAGACGGUAGCGUAAGUCGGGUGUGAAAGCCCCGGGCUCAACCUGGGAAUUGCAUUCGAGACUGCUCUGCUAGGGUGCGGAAGAGGGAGCGGAAUUUCCGGUGUAGCGGUGAAAUGCGUAGAUAUCGGAAGGAACACCAGUGGCGAAAGCGGCUCCCUGGUCCAGCACCGACGUUCAGGCACGAAAGCGUGGGGAGCAAACAGG